UGAUGAUGAAAACGACGAUGAUGAUGAUGGCGAUGAUAUUGAUCAUCAUCAUGAUAUUGAUCAUCAUCAUCAUCAUCAUCAUCAUCAUCACGACAA
rnacentral:pre_miRNA from 1 species